CCUGCAGCUCAGCUCUGACUUUUUGAACGAGCGCAUCUAUUAGAUUCAAUCCGAUCGGAUCAGAUUUGAUCCGUUAAUUUGGUGACUCUAAAUAGCUAUAGCUGAUCGCAUGGUCUUGUACCGGCGACAUAUCUAUCAAGUGUCUGCCUUAUCAACUUUCGAUGGUAGUUUAUGUGCCUACCAUGGUUGUAACGGGUAACGGAGAAUAAGGGUUCGACUCCGGAGAGGGAGCCUGAGAAACGGCUACCACAUCCAAGGAAGGCAGCAGGCGCGCAAAUUACCCAAUCUCAGAAUGAGGAGGUAGUGACGAAAAAUAACGAGACCGUUCUCUAUGAGGCCGGUUAUCGGAAUGGGUACAAUUUAAACCUGUUAACGAGGAUCUAUGAGAGGGCAAGUCUGGUGCCAGCAGCCGCGGUAAUUCCAGCUCUCAAAGUGUAUAUCGUCAUUGCUGCGGUUAAAAAGCUCGUAGUUGGAUCUGCGUCUUAGAACUUGGUCCAUCCAAAUGGAUGUGAACUAGGAUUCUAGACUAAAUAUUACAAGUUUUCUAUAUGUUACCUUAAUUGGUUGCAUAUAGUAGCUAGUAAGUUUACCUUGAAAAAAUUAGAGUGCUCAAUGCGGGCUUAAUGCCUGAAUACUCGUGCAUGGAAUAAUAAAAUAGGAUCUUGGUUCUAUUUUGUUGGUUUUCUGAUCUAAGAUAAUGGUUAAGAGGGACGGACGGGGGCAUUCGUAUCGCUACGUGAGAGGUGAAAUUCUUGGACCGUAGCGAGACGUACAACUGCGAAAGCAUUUGCCAAGAAUGU
rnacentral:rRNA from 1 species